rnacentral:rRNA from 1 species
UACGGGGGGGGCAAGCGUUGUUCGGAAUUACUGGGCGUAAAGGGCUCGUAGGCGGCCAACUAAGUCAGACGUGAAAUCCCUCGGCUUAACCGGGGAACUGCAUCUGAUACUGGAUGGCUUGAGAUUGGGAGAGGGAUGCGGAAUUCCGGGUGUAGCGGUGAAAUGCGUAGAUAUCUGGAGGAACACCGGUGGCGAAGGCGGCAUCCUGGACCAACACUGACGCUGAGGAGCGAAAGCCAGGGGAGCAAACGGG